GCGGGGGGGGGGCAGUGGAGGGGGCACGUCAUUGUCCCACUGACAGUGGCACCUUUCAGUGUUGAUCCACUCUAGGUCGAGAGGGCCCUGUCUACUCAUCCAGCACAGCUAAGUGGGGGCAGAUGUGGCCAGUGUUCAGGCCACCGCUCCUAGACAGGUGGGGGAUGCCCAAGGUUCCAGAGACUAGGGGAAAGGCGCCUUCCUUGGCCACGCCGGUGGCUUCUUCAUAUCCCUUCUCUUUAAAAGUUGAAAUCUUUGGGGAAUGGUUCGAGCCCCUCACUUUGCCUCCCUUGGGACUUUUGACUACCUUCACCUAUUUAUCAAAAUUAUAUUCGUCUCCACCGUCACCAUUGUUAUCAUCUAUACUUGGAUCACCUUUAUCAAGUGCUGCUAGGUUAGAGGCACUUGUGACAGCUGGGCACAUGAGGCCACCUCUUUGCUCAACCCAUGCCGCUUGCUCUCAGCCAACAAGACAUUCCCGGAGGGAAGGGCUGCUGCUUUGGGAUUCAGUCAACCCGAGUACCUCCCUCCUGGGGAACUGGGCUAGCAAGAUGCUAGGACACUUUCCUGCGUGGAUGCCGCUUCUGUGACAAAUGCUCACCUGUUUUCUCGUCUUCAGACUUGGUAACAUCAAGCCUGUCCUGGACCACGGCCAGGGUGGCUCGUAUCUCUGGUUUAGAGGAACCUAUGGAUACACGGAGACAAACAGACUCUUUGGUAGCAGCAGAUACCUGGACAUGUGUGGCCCGUGGAGGUCAGCCCAGUUUUCAACUGGGGCAUCUACUGCGGGAGACUUUUGGUUCUUCAAGCUCUGGACAGAAAAGAAGACUGUGUUGUCCCUUGGUGACCCAGUCCCCGUGUUUGUAACCAUCACAGCCAGGAAGCAGCUCUUAAGAUCAACCACAGUCUUCAUCCACAUUCCUUGAAUGAAGAACAUGAAGAAGAGAGAUAGAGGAAUGGGACAGAAGGAAGGAAGGAUGAAGAGGGGGGGUUGCCCAGAAGACAAAUGAGAAGGUCAGAUUUCCAGUCUGACUAUGGCUUGAGAGCAGAGCAGGUCCGAGACUUGGCCCAGACUCCCCGGAGAUCCAACGUUGUUUCAGAUGGAGCUUUUGAAGCGUGCUGAGAUUUGGAUCCUGGAACUUGGUGAAAUUCCAUGAUUGCCCGAAAAAGACAUUCUCUGGGGCCUCUCUCAGGUUGAUGUUCUCGCCCAGCUCCCGAUGUUCCCGUCACUACUAGAUGCUUUUUGGGGUUGUCCGCUCUCUCCUGCAAAGGCACCGAACCGAGACCAAAAUGGGGGUACUCCGGCCGCCAUCUUGAAAUGCUCAGAGGCAGCUGUGUACUGGGGACUCUUUCUGUCAGCUCUAACACGGCCAAUCCCCCACCUGGGACGUGUCCACAUAGCACUCUAGAUCAUUCCUUCUUCCUGGUAAUUGCAACUCGGUUGCUUUCGUGUUUGACUCAGCCAUAUUCCUCCAUGUGGAAGUGAGUGUGUGUGCUUGAGAGUGUGAGUGGGGCGUGUGAGUGGGCUUGUGGGUGCAAGGGUGUGUGUUUAAAUAUAAUCGCACCAUAAUUUAUUCAGCUAUAUGGAGUAGUAGAUUAGAAAGAGAAACUGGCAUUUGCUUUAACUACCUGCUUGUGAGCGCUUCCUCUGUAACUCAGGCGUAACUGUUAUACAUUAAAAGAAAUUAAAGCAUU